rnacentral:rRNA from 1 species
CAGUAGCCGCGGUAAUACAGAGGGUGCGAGCGUUAAUCGGAUUUACUGGGCGUAAAGCGUGCGCAGGCGGUUAUAUAAGACAGAUGUGAAAUCCCCGGGCUCAACCUGGGAACUGCAUUUGUGACUGUAUAGCUAGAGUACGGCAGAGGGGGAUGGAAUUCCGCGUGUAGCAGUGAAAUGCGUAGAUAUGCGGAGGAACACCGAUGGCGAAGGCAAUCCCCUGGGCCUGUACUGACGCUCAUGCACGAAAGCGUGGGGAGCAAACAGGAUUAGAUACCCCCGUAGUCCCUGUCUCUUAUAU